UCCUAUUUCUAAACAGCGCUUCUAAACGAACCCUCCCCGCGUUCACCGUCACCUCAGCAGCGCUCUUGAACUACAUCAGCGCCGCCCUCGACAACACGAUUUCGCCAUCCUUCUCAAAACACAAGUAUCAACCCCGAUUUAUUAACAACGACCUUGGAGAUUCAUCGGUACUCAAGCAAGAUCAGUUCGGUUCGAAGUGGAGAGAUUCACUAUCAACAACCAAGUCAGGAGAUUCAAGAUCGAACAGAUAAGUCAUAUCUGCUUGUUAUCAUUCAGUGCAAUUAUGAAUUACAUCUUCUGUUUCCUCUCUUUAGAAAAAUGUUUUAGGGUUUUAAAAUCUUCAGAUUGCUUUCGAUUAGUUAGUCUAAAUUGAGAAACGGAACCAGUUUUUGCAGUUGCUUGUUUGUUCUAAUCGUUUUGAUAUAAGGAUUUUAAGCAGAUAUACAAAAUUUUGGCAUGUUGAUUCACCACAACCCUUUAAUCCUAGCUCUAAUCUUAAAAUUGGCUCUAGAUUUGUAAUCAGCAUGUGUUCCUCGUCAUUACCCAUCAAAUCAUUUUCUAUUUAUUUUCAGUUUCUCGACCUAAUCGGAAUUUAGGUUUUUCCUGAUUGAUUUAACCUCCCUUCCCCUCUCUUCUGUUUUUAAUCAGUCGACAGGAGUAUGAAACUGCUAGGCGUAUAUAAGACAGAAGAAGUCUAGUUCAAGCACCUGGUACACACUUGUAACAUGGCUGUGGCAUCGUCCAGAAGCGGCUACUACGACUCGGAUCUGGUUAUUGUCAUCUUCUCUUGGAGCAUAAUAACAACAAAUCAGCUACAAAGGUCUCUUGAUCAAAAUAUGGCUUGGAGGAGAUUAAUUCAGCUCGUCUCAUAUUAAGCGUAUCAGAAGUUCAACCAAAACCACUGCCUCGCAAUAGCCAACAGUUGCCUGAUAACCUUGUGAAUUGAUGGCACCAUCAGCGCUCGUCUCAGAGAGAAGAACAAGCUAACGAGGCCGAUUACAGUCCCACAGUGCACAGCUGACCAUCCAAGCCACUGCCGUUUUGCCACGUGAUUCAUCAAAGACCGGGAGUCGGUGAGAAUUGUAACUUGAGGAAGAGCGCGUCAGCUCUAGCCACCUAAUAUGAGUCUCAUCAGCGCCACUUGAAUGCAUCAGCGCCUCUUUUCCAUUGCCCGGCAUGCUCACAGGACCAUGGAUAACAUACUAUAAAGGAUAAGAUUUAUAUUUCUAUCCUUAAUCCCUUUAUGUUGCUUACCUGUUUUGCGAUUUGUAUGAGAUAUGGUUUUGAAAAAAGAAAAGAAAGGGAGGGACGUAUAUGUUAACCCUCACGCAUUAAGGGUCACUAUAUAUUACGGCUUGUUCAUUAUCAAGCAUCGCUAUCAAAUGCCUAUGUAAUAUCUCCUGUGAUAUGUUCAGUAUCCUAAUUGUCUUGUACAUCUGCUAAGCUGGUUGAUUGUUGCGUGCAGUAAUUCGAGAUGCUUUAUUGUUAUUAGCUUCCGCCAGUCACUCAUAUGCAUUGACGAAUACUCGCAAAACGGAACAAAGAGCCGCUGGAGUUAGUAAAGGACAUCCACAGCUUCACUAUUUAAACUUGUGGGAUCGAGGAACUAAUGCGAAUAGAAUAUAUAUUACUCCUACAGUUAUCCUUUGUAGUUUCCUUGGCGAAUAGUGGUGGUAACACUACAUAAUCCUAGCACCACAGCAAGCCAAUGCCGUUUUUUUAUUUCUCCGUGUCCGUGCCUUCGUCCAGCUAAAUUAGUUCUGGAGAUCUCUUGGGUCGAAUCACAAUUGAUGAAGGAGAAACCAGUCAAUUGACGCGUGAUCAACCACUACCAGCUCAACCCAUGACAACAGCGCCAGCGCUUCCACUCUUUACGAAACUACCAGCCAGAGCUGAGAGAAGGAAGUUACAGAGAAGCAGUGACGCAUUACUUAAUCCCAUCAGCACUACUUGACUGACUCCACCAUCAACAUCAUCACUUAACCAUCGGGAGAAAUAGAAGCCGCCCUGUUAAUGCCGCUCGCCUAUGCUAAAUCUCGCCAGCACCACUUCUCCUUUUUAAGCCUCUUCAUCUAAUAGAAUCAUUACGAAGUCUAGCAGUUGAAGUGUUUAUGGAUAAUACAAGACGAGGGGAAGGCGCUGGACUGCAAGCUGAGAAAGAUGGCAGUUGGCCUAAGAUGAUGGUACUUCAGGGGUGUGCUGAUUACAAGAAGGUGAUGUUAUUGGUGCUGAGUUAGGUAGAAGGGAAUGCAAAGGCACAUAAGUAUUCACGGUUGCAUCAGUAAUUGCACUAUGAUCAGAUCUCCCAUAAGCAAAUGUUGCAGAAAAAUAGGGGCCUCCAUUAAUCAGGAAAAUGAUGUUGCAGCCCCGUGAAUAUCCACCAGCUUCCUCUGAAUCGGAACUACAAAGAUAAGUUUUCACUUCGUUUUUGGCAUGAGUUAUUUGAGCCUUCACACUUAAAUGAAAACAUAUAUCUAUGACCUUUACAAAAAAAAAAAACCCCGAUUGCGUGAUAUGCCUUAUAAUGCCUCUAUUGUUGUCCAAUACAUGUGCUUGGUUAAGUAGUUAUGUCGUUUUAUCUUUGCCGAGCAUGUCCAUGAGUUGUUCGAUCAUUCUGUCCUUUAGAAAAUGUGCUCUCUUUAUAAUGA